GACGAACGCUGGCGGCGUGCCUAAUACAUGCAAGUAGGACGAAGUUGCGAACGGGGGAGUGACACGUAGGUAACUACCUCUGAGAGGAGGACAACUAUUGGAAACGAUAGCUAAUACCGCAUACUAGUAGAUGGACAGGCGUUGUAUUAGCUAGUAGGUAGGGUAAUGGCCUAACUAGGGAACGAAACAUAGCCGACCUUGGAAGGUGUAGGGGCCAAAUGGGACCGAGACACGGCCCCGAACCCCACGGGAGGCAACAGUAAGGAAUCCUUGGCAAAUGGGGGAACGCCGAACGAGGAACGCCGCGUGAGUGAAGAAAGUUUUCGGGUCGUAAAGCUUUGUUGUUUAGGGAGCGGUACUUAACCAGAAAGGGACGGCUAACUACGUGCCAGCAGUCGCGGUAAUUC
rnacentral:rRNA from 1 species